rnacentral:ncRNA from 1 species
CGUGUGGUGUCCGACGGAAACACGGUUGGAUAGCGACACGGCCUAAACAGAGGU